AUUGAAACACUGGUUUCCAUACGAUCAACGAAGUUAAGCAAUGUCGAGCCUGGUCAGUACCUAAAUGGAUGACCGCUUAGGAAUACCAGAU